rnacentral:rRNA from 1 species
GGGUCCUACGGGAGGCAGCAGUGGGGAAUAUUGCACAAUGGGGGAAACCCUGAUGCAGCGACGCCGCGUGAGUGAGGAAGUAUUUCGGUAUGUAAAGCUCUAUCAGCAGGGAAGAAAAUGACGGUACCUGACUAAGAAGCCCCGGCUAACUACGUGCCAGCAGCCGCGGUAAUACGUAGGUGGCAAGCGUUGUCCGGAUUUACUGGGUGUAAAGGGCGUGCAGCCGGAGAGGCAAGUCAGAUGUGAAAUCCGCGGGCUCAACUCGCGAACUGCAUUUGAAACUGCUUCCCUUGAGUAUCGGAGAG